rnacentral:rRNA from 1 species
CCAGCAGCUGCGGUAAUUCCAGCUCCAAUAGCGUAUAUUUAAGUUGUUGCAGUUAAAAAGCUCGUAGUUGGAUUUCGGGUGGGUUCUAGCGGUCCGCCUAUGGUGAGUACUGCUAUGGCCUUCCUUUCUGCCGGGGACGGGCUCCUGGGCUUAACUGUCCGGGACUCGGAGUCGGCGAGGUUACUUUGAGUAAAUUAGAGUGUUCAAAGCAAGCCUACGCUCUGAAUACUUUAGAAUGGAAUAACAUGAUAGGACUCUGGCCUAUCUUGUUGGUCUGUAGGAUCGGAGUAAUGAUUAAGAGGGACAGUCGGGGGCAUUUGUAUUUCAUUGUCAGAGGUGAAAUUCUUGGAUUUAUGAAAGACAAACUACUGCGAAAGCAUUUGCCAAGGAUGUUUUCAUUAAUCAAGAACGAAAGU